UUGAUGUUUGUAGUAUCAUGACGACAUUGCAGGUCCAUUUGGCAUGGUGACGAAUUGGAAUGCUUAUGGAUUAGGCUCAUGGAGGAUUGCAAUUGCUGCAGGUUGCUUCAUGUUUUGACUUGACUCAAGAUUGCAAGUUUGUUCUGUCUUGGUGUGUUCUUGUGCAGGUCACAGGUUGUCACAGGACAUAUUCGCAUAUUAGCCUCCUUGAAGCAUUCUGCAAACUCCUGUUGGAUAAUUAAAAGACUGUUUUUGUGUAGAUUCCUGAGUCAGUGUGGUCUUAGGUGAAGCAUCCUUAAAGUCGCAUUUGAUGGCCUCACUUGUGUGUUUGCAAAGUGUGCUUGUUUCUUGCUCUCGUCUCUAAGAGCAAUCAAAGCAGCAUUUCCUUCUAGUGGCAAUAUAAGUCCAGUGAUGAAUAAAUCCUUGAUUUAAAGCAUCUCAAGUGCCUGUGCUGCACCAUUUUCAUCAUGAAGGAUAAAGUCUGUAAGUCUUCUAUUUGGGCGAUCAUUCUCUUGUCCAGCAGUCAUACGGACCGCUAGCAGUUCUCCUUCUGCAAACUGAUCCUUCUUUGUUUCACCAAGACAAGACUUAUCAGUUUCAGGCACAUUCCAUGACAGGAUCAUAGCUACUGCAGGAUCAAGAUGCACGACUUAUCGAAGCAACCAAACCUUCCUGUAAUGGAUGACGGUGACUCACUGCGGCUUAUACGCAUGUUGCAUAAGGUGUU